rnacentral:tRNA from 1 species
UCUAAAAUGGCAGAUUUAAUGCAUUGAAUUUAAACUUCAUAUAUAUAACCUAGUUAUUUUUAGAA